GACGAACGCUGCGGCGUGCUUAACACAUGCAAGUCGAACGGUGAAGGGACCAGCUUGCUGGUUCUGGAUGAGUGGCGAACGGGUGAGUAACACGUGAGUAACCUGCCCCCUUCUUCUGGAUAACCGCAUGAAAGUGUGGCUAAUACGGGAUAUUCUGGGUCUGUCGCAUGGCGGGCCCGGGAAAGAUAUUGCUUCGGUGGGGGAUGGGCUCGCGGCCUAUCAGCUUGUUGGUGGGGUGAUGGCCUACCAAGGCGGUGACGGGUAGCCGGCCUGAGAGGGUGGACGGUCACACUGGGACUGAGACACGGCCCAGACUCCUACGGGAGGCAGCAGUGGGGAAUAUUGCACAAUGGGCGCAAGCCUGAUGCAGCGACGCCGCGUGAGGGAUGGAGGCCUUCGGGUUGUAAACCUCUUUCGCCAGUGAAGCAGGCCUGCUCCUUGUGGGUGGGUUGACGGUAGCUGGAUAAGAAGCGGGCUAAUAAA
rnacentral:rRNA from 1 species